GGGGGGACCGCCAGAUCCUGGGCUGUGUCCCCAGGAGCCCUGAGCUCUGGAGCCUGCGCCACUGGAAUUGCACUCCUGGUUCUGUGCAGCCCCCU
rnacentral:pre_miRNA from 1 species